rnacentral:rRNA from 1 species
UACAGAGGGGGCAAGCGUUGUUCGGAAUUACUGGGCGUAAAGGGCGCGUAGGCGGCCCGUUAAGUCGAACGUGAAAUCCCCGGGCUCAACCCGGGAACUGCGUCCGAUACUGGCAGGCUUGAAUCCGGGAGAGGGAUGCGGAAUUCCAGGUGUAGCGGUGAAAUGCGUAGAUAUCUGGAGGAACACCGGUGGCGAAGGCGGCAUCCUGGACCGGCAUUGACGCUGAGGCGCGAAAGCCAGGGGAGCAAACGGG